CACCUGCCGAUGCGACGUGAGAGGAGCCAAGCGCGCAGUGGGCCCUGGACACGAGAGCGGUGCGGUGUCGUGCUGGCGGCGGCGGCGGCGGCGGCGAAGGAUAAAUAGGGCCGUAGGGCCAUCGUUUUGCAUUGCCGUCGCGUGGCCGUGGGUUUUCAUCGACGAACGACGACGACUCUGCCGCGCGCGUUUAGGCGCGUCGCCGCCGGCCACCCGGCCGGCCACUUCGACGCGGCUGUGGUGGUUUAAAAUUCUCCGGCUCGCCGCCCACGGCCUCGCUGCACGUAGUUGCAGGUGAGUGAGGUUCUUCGAUUCCCCCCAAACCCGGCCCAUCUCCGACGAUCCAUUAUUUGUUCGUCCAUAUGAAAAUGCAUCUCUUUUUGUACCCAGUUGUUACCUACAUGCAGCUUUUACUGCUUCAUUCAGUUAUGGUCGUGUACAUCUUCAGAAAACCAGACAUGUUCAGGCAAGACCAGUGGGUAUGCAAAAACAACAGCAAAGUGGCUCGGCAUGUCGACAGCCAGCUGCUACUUCUACUUCUACAUAUAAACCACGCGCUGGCAUGAACUCCACUCCAGCAUGGAUAGACGACAUCAUCGCACAAAUCACAUACCAGGUCAAGGCACCACGUUUCACAAACCUAGUGAACACCCAAGAACUAUUAUGCAAUACCAUCAUUUUGCUCGAUAGAUUUUCCUAGCCCAGUUGUUUCAUCUGAGCAAGUGUCUGUAGGAACUAAAACACAGUAGUAUGCUGUAUAUACUGUCAAGCAUGAAACGCAACCAGAUCAGCUGCAGGAUUUGCAGCACCAAGCUCUGGCCAUUAGGUAGGCUGCAUAUCACAACACACAAAGGGAACAUCAAACUACAUACACUAGCUCCGUCCCCUCCAGGGACACUGCAGGUUGGCAGGCCCAAAGCUAGCACAGGGUCUCGCAACCCACAAGGUCAUAAUCAGUACAAGCAUCCAUCGGCAAGGGGAAGCAAGAGCAAUCCCAGGUAGGUGGACGCUGGACAGAUCCGUGCUCACGCCGUUCCUUGCUCCGGACUUUUCUGGCCGCUUGUACUAGCUCCGCUGUUUUGUUUCGCCAACAUCUGAAUCUGAUCGCCAUACCAUAGUAGGAAUUAGCAUAGCACUCAACUGCAUUUGGCGCCCCGUUUCAAUCUCACGGGAUAAACUUUAGCUUCCUGCUAAACUUUAACUAUAUGAAUUAAAGUGCUAAAGUUUAGUUUCAAUUACCACCAUUAGCUCUCCUGUUUAGAUUACAAAUGGCUAAAAGUAGCUAAAAAAAGCUGCUAAAGUUUAUCUCGCGAGAUUGAAACAGGGCCUAAAUAGCAAUCUAGCCGACUGGUCAGUGAUCACUGAAAGCUUAUUCAGAAAAUAAACAGGUAAGAUAUAUAUGGCAUCCUGCUAUGGUUCCUAACUUUUUACACCACUUGUGCCUAACAGAUCAAGCUCUCUCACGAGGGUUUAAUUUUCAUGCAAGGCCUGACAUUUCUGCGCUGAGGUUACAUUGCUCACAGUUGUUCAGUAGCAGCUUGUCCAACAGUACUUGCCCGUUCCAGCAGUACUUCCAGGCAAAGUAGCAAAUUUACGCAGAGCGCAAAGGUAGAAGCUAGCAACAUCCAAAGGAAAUAACAAAACACUAGCAGCAUCCAAAGAAAUUUGGUAUUCUGCACUCCCUAUUGUAUUUGGUUGUCAUUAACCAAACAACACAGUUUGGAGUUUGGACUGAACUGAACUUGAAUAAGGCGCAACCAAUCAAGGUCCUGCUUGUGGGCUUUACCGUUCAGAUUUCAAGAAAAAAAAAUAUACCGUACCUUCCUGGAUCUCGUAUCCUUCAAAGCAUUUCUCAGAAGAUUUUCCAGCUUCUCCAGCUCAUCUACAUCUGAUUCGUCAGCAUUGCUCUGGGGAGACCUGCCGGUUUGAAGAAAUUGUGAUUAUUUAUCAAAAAUGGGAAACCAGAGUGGGUGGAAAUCCUGAGUUCUGGGUGUGUACCAGGUCGCAAUCUUGCUCAGCAUCAACUGCAAAUCUGAAGAAGCUUCAUCCUUGUUCUGUACCAAAAACACCCUAAAAAUUGCUGAUAGCGGUUAUAUGUAUCCUCUAUGCUGAAAAAGGAGAAAAAAAAUGAAUAUGAUAUUAGCUCCUUGCAUAAUGUACUCUUGGACAAUCAACAUCUAUAUAUUCACCUCACGUGGAACAAAAAUGCAGGCAGUUUUAUUGGAGGACUUUUGAGCAUCAAUGUGAUGCUAAUGGAGUUUGCAUUAGUGGUGUAUUGAUGCAAGGUAAGCUCGUUGCUUACUUUAGUGAGAAAUUAAAUAGACAUUCUUAAUUAUUCUAUGUAUGGCGAAGAACUGUAUGCAGAAUUUCCUAAUUACUCUAAUAACUAAGUCAAAAUAAACUGAAACGUACACAUGCCUAUGUGGGUUGAAUUUAUUGAAUCAUUUUCUUAUGUGAUCAAACAUAAGAAAGAAAAAGAUAAUAUUAUUGUUGAUGCUUUGUCCAGAUAAUAUACUAUGUUGUUCCAAUUUGAUUGUUCUAUAAUUAGGCUUAAAAUAUUAAAGUACAAUAUGUUAAUAAUAAUGAACUUAAGGAUGUGACAAAAAAUAUAUAUAAAGAGAUGUAUAUAGAACAAAUUUGUGAUGCAUGGUGAGUUUUUGUUUAGAGCUAACCGAUAAUGCAUUCUACUUGUUUAUGUUCGUCUUUUGUUGUUGCAAGAGGCACAUGGAGGUGGAUUGAUGGAACAUUUUAAUGUCAAGAAGAUAAAGUGUUGGUCACAUACUUCUUCUAUCCAAGGAUGAGGCAAGAUGUAGAGAGGUUCGUAGCUUGAUACACGACAUGUCAAAUAGCUAAAUCGCGGUUGAACCCAUAUGGUUUGUAUAUGUUGGUUCAUUUCUUCUAUUUCUUGGGUGGAUAUAUAUAUAUGAACUUUGUUUUGGAAUUGCAAAGAACUAAUAGGGGGGAUAGUAUUUUUGUGGUGGUU